rnacentral:rRNA from 1 species
GAUGAACGCUGGCGGCGUGCCUAAUACAUGCAAGUCGAGCGAACAGAUGAGGAGCUUGCUCCUCUGACGUUAGCGGCGGACGGGUGAGUAACACGUGGAUAACCUACCUAUAAGACUGGGAUAACUUCGGGAAACCGGAGCUAAUACCGGAUAAUAUAUUGAACCGCAUGGUUCAAUAGUGAAAGACGGUUUUGCUGUCACUUAUAGAUGGAUCCGCGCCGCAUUAGCUAGUUGGUAAGGUAACGGCUUACCAAGGCAACGAUGCGUAGCCGACCUGAGAGGGUGAUAGGCCACACUGGAACUGAGACACGGUCCAGACUCCUACGGGAGGCAGCAGUAGGGAAUCUUCCGCAAUGGGCGAAAGCCUGACGGAGCAACGCCGCGUGAGUGAUGAAGGUCUUCGGAUCGUAAAACUCUGUUAUUAGGGAAAAACAAAUGUGUAAGUAACUAUGCACGUCUUGACGGUACCUAAUCAGAAAGCCACGGCUAACUACGUG